GGUUAAGCGACUAAGCGUACACGGUGGAUGCCCUGGCAGUCAGAGGCGAUGAAGGACGUGCUAAUCUGCGAUAAGCGUCGGUAAGGUGAUAUGAACCGUUAUAACCGGCGAUUUCCGAAUGGGGAAACCCAGUGUGAUUCGUCACACUAUCAUUAACUGAAUCCAUAGGUUAAUGAGGCGAACCGGGGGAACUGAAACAUCUAAGUACCCCGAGGAAAAGAAAUCAACCGAGAUUCCCCCAGUAGCGGCGAGCGAACGGGGAGGAGCCCAGAGCCUGAAUCAGUGUGUGUGUUAGUGGAAGCGUCUGGAAAGGCGCGCGAUACAGGGUGACAGCCCCGUACACAAAAAUGCACAUGCUGUGAGCUCGAUGAGUAGGGCGGGACACGUGGUAUCCUGUCUGAAUAUGGGGGGACCAUCCUCCAAGGCUAAAUACUCCUGACUGACCGAUAGUGAACCAGUACCGUGAGGGAAAGGCGAAAAGAACCCCGGCGAGGGGAGUGAAAAAGAACCUGAAACCGUGUACGUACAAGCAGUGGGAGCACAGAGCAAUCUGUGUGACUGCGUACCUUUUGUAUAAUGGGUCAGCGACUUAUAUUCUGUAGCAAGGUUAACCGAAUAGGGGAGCCGAAGGGAAACCGAGUCUUAACCGGGCGUUAAGUUGCAGGGUAUAGACCCGAAACCCGGUGAUCUAGCCAUGGGCAGGUUGAAGGUUGGGUAACACUAACUGGAGGACCGAACCGACUAAUGUUGAAAAAUUAGCGGAUGACUUGUGGCUGGGGGUGAAAGGCCAAUCAAACCGGGAGAUAGCUGGUUCUCCCCGAAAGCUAUUUAGGUAGCGCCUCGUGAAUUCAUCUCCGGGGGUAGAGCACUGUUUCGGCAAGGGGGUCAUCCCGACUUACCAACCCGAUGCAAACUGCGAAUACCGGAGAAUGUUAUCACGGGAGACACACGGCGGGUGCUAACGUCCGUCGUGAAGAGGGAAACAACCCAGACCGCCAGCUAAGGUCCCAAAGUCAUGGUUAAGUGGGAAACGAUGUGGGAAGGCCCAGACAGCCAGGAUGUUGGCUUAGAAGCAGCCAUCAUUUAAAGAAAGCGUAAUAGCUCACUGGUCGAGUCGGCCUGCGCGGAAGAUGUAACGGGGCUAAACCAUGCACCGAAGCUGCGGCAGCGACACUGUGUGUUGUUGGGUAGGGGAGCGUUCUGUAAGCCUGUGAAGGUGUACUGUGAGGUAUGCUGGAGGUAUCAGAAGUGCGAAUGCUGACAUAAGUAACGAUAAAGCGGGUGAAAAGCCCGCUCGCCGGAAGACCAAGGGUUCCUGUCCAACGUUAAUCGGGGCAGGGUGAGUCGACCCCUAAGGCGAGGCCGAAAGGCGUAGUCGAUGGGAAACAGGUUAAUAUUCCUGUACUUGGUGUUACUGCGAAGGGGGGACGGAGAAGGCUAUGUUGGCCGGGCGACGGUUGUCCCGGUUUAAGCGUGUAGGCUGGUUUUCCAGGCAAAUCCGGAAAAUCAAGGCUGAGGCGUGAUGACGAGGCACUACGGUGCUGAAGCAACAAAUGCCCUGCUUCCAGGAAAAGCCUCUAAGCAUCAGGUAACAUCAAAUCGUACCCCAAACCGACACAGGUGGUCAGGUAGAGAAUACCAAGGCGCUUGAGAGAACUCGGGUGAAGGAACUAGGCAAAAUGGUGCCGUAACUUCGGGAGAAGGCACGCUGAUAUGUAGGUGAAGUCCCUCGCGGAUGGAGCUGAAAUCAGUCGAAGAUACCAGCUGGCUGCAACUGUUUAUUAAAAACACAGCACUGUGCAAACACGAAAGUGGACGUAUACGGUGUGACGCCUGCCCGGUGCCGGAAGGUUAAUUGAUGGGGUCAGCGCAAGCGAAGCUCUUGAUCGAAGCCCCGGUAAACGGCGGCCGUAACUAUAACGGUCCUAAGGUAGCGAAAUUCCUUGUCGGGUAAGUUCCGACCUGCACGAAUGGCGUAAUGAUGGCCAGGCUGUCUCCACCCGAGACUCAGUGAAAUUGAACUCGCUGUGAAGAUGCAGUGUACCCGCGGCAAGACGGAAAGACCCCGUGAACCUUUACUAUAGCUUGACACUGAACAUUGAGCCUUGAUGUGUAGGAUAGGUGGGAGGCUUUGAAGUGUGGACGCCAGUCUGCAUGGAGCCGACCUUGAAAUACCACCCUUUAAUGUUUGAUGUUCUAACGUGGACCCGUGAUCCGGGUUGCGGACAGUGUCUGGUGGGUAGUUUGACUGGGGCGGUCUCCUCCUAAAGAGUAACGGAGGAGCACGAAGGUUGGCUAAUCCUGGUCGGACAUCAGGAGGUUAGUGCAAUGGCAUAAGCCAGCUUGACUGCGAGCGUGACGGCGCGAGCAGGUGCGAAAGCAGGUCAUAGUGAUCCGGUGGUUCUGAAUGGAAGGGCCAUCGCUCAACGGAUAAAAGGUACUCCGGGGAUAACAGGCUGAUACCGCCCAAGAGUUCAUAUCGACGGCGGUGUUUGGCACCUCGAUGUCGGCUCAUCACAUCCUGGGGCUGAAGUAGGUCCCAAGGGUAUGGCUGUUCGCCAUUUAAAGUGGUACGCGAGCUGGGUUUAGAACGUCGUGAGACAGUUCGGUCCCUAUCUGCCGUGGGCGCUGGAGAACUGAGGGGGGCUGCUCCUAGUACGAGAGGACCGGAGUGGACGCAUCACUGGUGUUCGGGUUGUCAUGCCAAUGGCACUGCCCGGUAGCUAAAUGCGGAAGAGAUAAGUGCUGAAAGCAUCUAAGCACGAAACUUGCCCCGAGAUGAGUUCUCCCUGACCCUUUAAGGGUCCUGAAGGAACGUUGAAGACGACGACGUUGAUAGGCCGGGUGUGUAAGCGCAGCGAUGCGUUGAGCUAACCGGUACUAAUGAACCGUGAGGCUUAACCUU
rnacentral:rRNA from 3 species